rnacentral:lncRNA from 1 species
AGAGGUGCCUCCUACAAUAACAGAGAUGGGCUGCAAACAUUGGAUGACCUGUGGCAGAGCACGGAAAGAAGGCAAGGAUGACAGCUACAUGCAGACAAGGUCUCCAGAUUUGCCACCCAUGCUGAGUGCCGUGGUGUGAUCAUGGCUUAUUUCAACCUCAACCUCCCCCACUCAAGCGAUCCUCCUGCCUCAGCCUCUGGAGUAGCUGGGACUACAGGCACGCACCACCACACCCAGCCAUAAUUUGCCUCUUGCUGUAACUAAAAGGUCACAAAAACAAAGAAUUCUAAAAAAUCUUCUUCUUAAGUGGUAUGUUUAGUAUUUAUCAUGAUGACAAUGUUCUAAAUUGCACCUGCCUCCACUAGCAGAAUGCCAGGAUUACUGCCAGACAGAGAAUUCGGACUGCU